UGGGCAACCUGCCCUGCACUCUGGGAUAACUUCGGGAAACCGGAGCUAAUACCGGAUAACAUCCUCCUCCGCAUGGUGGGGGGUUGAAAGUUCCGGCGGUGCAGGAUGGGCCCGCGGCCUAUCAGCUUGUUGGUGGGGUAGUGGCCUACCAAGGCGACGACGGGUAGCCGGCCUGAGAGGGCGACCGGCCACACUGGGACUGAGACACGGCCCAGACUCCGUACGGGGAGGCA
rnacentral:rRNA from 1 species